rnacentral:rRNA from 1 species
UACGAAGGGGGCUAGCGUUGCUCGGAAUCACUGGGCGUAAAGCGCACGUAGGCGGACUCUUAAGUCGGUGGUGAAAUCCUGGAGCUCAACUCCAGAACUGCCUUCGAUACUGGGAGUCUUGAGUUCGGGAGAGGUGAGUGGAACUGCGAGUGUAGAGGUGAAAUUCGUAGAUAUUCGCAAGAACACCAGUGGCGAAGGCGGCUCACUGGCCCGAUACUGACGCUGAGGCACGAAAGCGUGGGGAGCAAACAGG